AUGGGUUAAUCAACUUUUACUUGCCUUUGGACAACUGCACUCGGUCCCAGAUUAGUUAAAAGGUAACCAAUACGAAAUUGGUGAAUAUUAUCAUCUAACCAAGAAACUUCAAAAUAAAUCUAUAUACUAGCUUUAAAAAUUAUUUAUUAACUAUAUUUUUUACCAAAAUAUAACGGUUGUCCGAGUGACAAAUGGGUUGUUUUUAUGUUUAAGUCAGUGUCCCUGGACUACUUUUAUGCAUUGAACUCGUCACCGCCGAAAAAAUUUCCUUUAAGACAAUAAAUAUUACAACACAUAACAUACUAUGAAUUUAUUAUGUGUAAGUGAAUCAUAACUAAUAAUUUUUAAAAUCUUUUAAUCUAUCUUUUUUUCUCAAGUUACUCUUGUCCCACAAAAUCGUUACUUUUUGUAAAUCCAUCGGACAACCACUCUUAAAUUACGAUGCUAAUAUGGAGAUGGCGCUGAAUUAGCGAAUACAACACGUGACUCGAUGUAGUUUACGAUGGUAAAGCAGCAAGUUUGAAAUUGCCAACGCCCCCCGCGUUAGUCGGUCAAACUCUAGAGCGCGGAGUGGGUGUGUUUAUUGUGUGUCCCCCGGACCGGCGUAAAUAUUAGAAUGGGGAUGUCUGCAAAAGAAAAAUUAAGACGCUAUAGAGAGAAGUUGAAAGCAGAUCCGGAGAAAUAUGAAGAACGAAAAAUAAAGAAAAGGGAAAGUUAUCAUAAGAAUAAAAGAUUAGUUUCAGAUUUACAGCCAGAAGAAAAAAAAAAGUAGAAGUAUUUGGACACUCAAACAAAAUCAAAGACAACGUAAGAAGGCAAUUGAAAAUAUACUUGCAGAUACACCACCUAGCUCUCCAAUAGUCUUUCAAGAAAUUAACGUACCCCAAGAUUAUAAACGCAAAAUGCACGGAGGAAAUUCAAGCGCAUCAUUUUGGUGGAUCUCGAAACCAAAUCACUUUUCAUACAGUGGUUGUGUACGUGCAUGACAAAGAAAAAACAUACAAAGCCUUAUCAUUUUGCUCCGUUUCACCAUGCAACGUUCAUCAACCAGCUGCAAUCUGGGCCCAUUUACAUCCGAUACUAACAUUGAUUCGCCAAAAUUACCCACAAAUUGACAUUAUUCACUUUUUUUUCGGAUGGGCCAUUCUCGCAAUACCGACAAAAGCUUAAUUUUUUCUUGGCUUGCACCAAGACGUUUGAUUUUGGUUUCCAAUACUUUAAAUGGUCAUAUUUUGAGGCUGGUUAUGGAAAAGGACCUGCUGACGGGAUUGGAGAAUACUUGAAAAGAGCAGCAGACACCAAGGUGGCAACUGGCACAGAUAUAACGAAUGCCUUAGAGUUUUAUACAGUCUUAAAAUAUUCCAGCAAAAUCAAGUUAUAUUAUAUAACUAAAGAAGAUAUCGAUUUUAUACAGAACAGUAUUCCAAAGAUAUAGUCCCACUUAAAGGAACAAAAGAGGUGCACCAAAUUUUUUCGAGAGUAUACGGCCAGUUAAAGUACAGAUAUUUAAGUUGCUUCUGUGCCAGAGGAUUGUGUGAAUGCUUACAUCCUAAAGUGUACUUACCGUUGCCAGAUUUGAUAGAAAAUUCUCACUCUGCUGAAAUCCACUGCAGUGAUGAUGAUGAUAUGCCACUAAUAGCUUUAACUUCUAAAGCCAAAGAAAGAAUUUCAAUAGAAGAUUUCCAGGGGUUUCACCAUGAAAGCGUUUACAAAGCUAUUUACGACUCUUCAGAGAACUCUGAAGAAGAUCGUGACUUUGUACAGCCAGGGCCUUCAAACUCAGGGCAAAGUAGCAAGUUACCUAUAAAAGGCGAUUUCUUACUAGUCAAAGUUCAUGACACCAAAAGGAAAUCGUACCAUACCUAUGCGUGCAUUGCUCAAGAAGAUGAUGGUGAAAUUAGAGUAACAUUUCUGAAAUGCGUUAAAGGAGGAAAACUUUUUGUGAUCAAUAAGAAUGACAUAUCGUACGUAGCUUAUGAAGAUAUUGUACGUAAGUUACUCAUGCCUGAGUUACAAUGUAAGAGAGAUGUAAAUUACUAUAAAUUUCCCUUUGAUGUUAACGUUUUUGAAAAAUAAUUUGAUUGCUAAAUUACGAAUUCAUGAGUAUUAUUAGGUUUAGGUUCAAAUAUUUGUUUUAAGGUUACUAGAUGCAGAUGGUAUGUUAACUUUCGUCGAAAGUAUUGUGUUAAUGAAUGAUUACAUAAAAAUAAUAUUUAGAUAAGAAUUACUGUAAAUGAUGGUGUUCAAAAUAUUUUUAAGACUGACAUAAUAGUUAUAUGGUAUGUUGAUUAUUAGAUUGUAAAAGGGUUGAUAAUAGCCAUGACUGAUUUUAUACGUAGUAUCUUAUACAGCUUAUAAAGCCGUGUAGCUUAAGCAGUCAAAACCAUUUAAGUUUAAGAAACUGAUUAUUUUUGUUAAAUUUUGAUUAAAUUUCUUGGAAAAUUACAAUAUAAUUUUGUUUCGAUGAA